UACGUAGGUGGCAAGCGUUGUCCGGAAUUAUUGGGCGUAAAGCGCGCGCAGGCGGUCCUUUAAGUCUGAUGUGAAAGCCCACGGCUCAGCCGUGGAGGGUCAUUGGAAACUGGGGGACUUGAGUACAGAAGAGAAGAGUGGAAUUCCACGUGUAGCGGUGAAAUGCGUAGAGAUGUGGAGGAACACCAGUGGCGAAGGCGACUCUUUGGUCUGUAACUGACGCUGAGGCGCGAAAGCGUGGGGAGCAAACAGG
rnacentral:rRNA from 1 species